UGGGAUUACAGGUGCAUGCCACCACAUCCGACUAAUUUUUGUAUUUUAAGUAGAAACAAGGGUUCAUCAUGUUGGUCAGGCUGGUCUCGAACUCCUGACCUUGUGAUCCACCUACCUCGGCCUCCCAAAGUGCUGAGAUUACAGGUGUGAGCCACCGCACCCGACCCUGAUUCCUUUUCUUACUCCUUUCUCCCCUCCUCAGCUGCAGCCAUCUGGUUUUCUUGUUUUUUCUCCAACACUCCCUGACAAGCUCUUGCCGCAGGGCCUUUGCACUAGCUGUUUGUUCCUUCUGCUGGGAGAGCUUUUUCCCCAGAUAUCUGCUUUGACUCACUCACUCACCUCCUUUAAGUUCCCACUCAAAUCUCACCAUCUCAAUGAAGCCAACUCUGACAACUCUAGGAAUCUAGCAAGCCCUCCCUCCCCUCUUUCUCCGUCUUUCUCUGCUUUAUUUUUUCCUUUUUCCACAGCACCUAUCAUCUCCAGAAAUACAUAUAUUUGCUUGCUUAUUGCAUUCACUGUUUGUCUCCCCCUGCGAGAGGUCAAGAUCUUUGUUUUGUUCUCUGAUGUCUACCAAAUGCCUAGAAUAAUGCUUGCAUUUGGUAGGCACUCAAUAAACACUUUCUUAUAUGUGUAAUCCACGAGAUAAAUAUAAUUUUUAUCACUUUUACAGCAUCUGAAGGACGUAGUCUGGGGCCUGGCCCCAGAAGCUGAGGUACAAAGAAGGUAACAAACUUAAUCAGAUCACCCAGCCAAUAAGUAGUGGAGCUGAGAGUUGAACUAAGAAUCCUUGCACUUAGCCGCUACUUCAAAUUGCUUUCUUGAAACUUACAAAAUGGGAGCCUCAUGUAGGCUGCUUCCUGGAUUCCAGUGACUCACAUGAUCUAAUUAUUCUCUUUGCUCUGAGAAGGCUGCACUCCUACUCAGACUGGGGCUAGGUUUCACAUUUCUUUGUCUCCUAAGAUAUGUAAACAUGGUAUUUCAUUUUACAACAAAGACCUUUGAACUGGAUUGGAUCUUUCAUUCUGUCACGUUCUUGGGGCCCCACAACUCCAUGGACAGAAAGUGAGCACCACGAAGACAGGUCUUGUUGGAUAUUCUCUUUGUCCCUUUCUGAUUCCCCAGUGCCCAGAGCAAGAGACAAGGUCUUGCUAUGCUGCCCAAGCUGGUCUCAAAUUCCUGGCCUCAAGCGGUCCUCCCAUCUUGGCCUCCAGAAGCAUUGGGAUUACAGGCUCCAUGUUAGGUGCUGGAGAUACAGUGAUGAACAAGAUAUUCAAGGUACCUGCCUACCUGGAGUUUACAGUCUAAUUGAGGGACACAGGAAGGAAGCUGUACUGACCAUUUAUCUUUCACUGCUGCUCAACAAUUUAAAAAAUUCCUGUCUGUGAGACUCUGUCUCAAAAAAUGAAUAAAUAAAAUUAAAAGAAAGAAUACAUGUAAAAUGCUUAGCACACAAUAAACACACAAGUAUUGGUUCCCUUUCCUUUCCUCUUGUUUUCUGGAGGAUUUUUACUUAUUGUGGAAAAGAAAGCAAUCCUUUCAGCAUUUCCUUUUGUGUGUGUGUGUGUGUGUGUGUGUGUGUGUGUGUGUGUGUGUGUGUUUUCUUUUCGUUUUUAGAGAGGUCUUGCUCUGUUGCCCAGACUGGAGUGCAGUGGCGUGAUCAUAGCUCACUGCAGCCUUGAAUUCCUGGGUUCAAACGAUCCUCCCCAGUAGCUGGGAAUACAGGUUUUUAAACGUUUCUGAUGCAGCAGGAC
rnacentral:lncRNA from 1 species